GACGAACGCUGGCGGCGUGCUUAACACAUGCAAGUCGAGCGGUAAGGCCUCUUUGGGGGUACACGAGCGGCGAACGGGUGAGUAACACGUGGGUGACCUGCCUUCAGCUCUGGGAUAAGCCUGGGAAACUGGGUCUAAUACUGGAUAUUCACUGGCUUCUGCAUGGGGGUUGGUGGAAAGUUUUUUCGGCUGGAGAUGGGCCCGCGGCCUAUCAGCUUGUUGGUGGGGUGAUGGCCUACCAAGGCGA
rnacentral:rRNA from 1 species